rnacentral:rRNA from 1 species
AACGAACGCUGGCGGCAGGCUUAACACAUGCAAGUCGAACGCCCCUUCGGGGGAGUGGCAGACGGGUGAGUAACGCGUGGGAAUCUACCCAGUUCUGCGGAACAACAGAUGGAAACGACUGCUAAUACCGCAUACGCCCUACGGGGGAAAGAUUUAUCGGAAUUGGAUGAGCCCGCGUAAGAUUAGCUAGUUGGUGAGGUAAUGGCUCACCAAGGCGACGAUCUUUAGCUGGUCUGAGAGGAUGAUCAGCCACACUGUGACUGAGACACGGCCCAGACUCCUACGGGAGGCAGCAGUGGGGAAUAUUGGACAAUGGGCGCAAGCCUGAUCCAGCCAUGCCGCGUGAGUGAUGAAGGUCUUAGGGUUGUAAAGCUCUUUCAGUAGGGAAGAUAAUGACGGUACCUACAGAAGAAGCCCCGGCUAACUUCGUGCCAGCCGCCGCCGUAACAC